ensembl:lncRNA LINC00471 long intergenic non-protein coding RNA 471
ACGUGGCCGUCUUCCCCGCGCGCCUUGGAUCUGGGGCAAUAGCUGAGAGGGCGUCACCAGCGUGUCGGCGCCUGCGGUUUUCUUCGGGCUGUCCCCAGGCGUCGUGCCCGCGUCCGUCACGCGCGGUGGCUUGCAGGGGCGCACCGCGACAGCCUUAAAGGAAAACCUGUUAGGGACAAGGGCUGCUGUGGGCAGCGAGGGUUAUAGACUCAUGUGUGUUCUGAAUUCUGGUGGGGGUAGUGAUGGACGCUGACCCAGUUCACAGAAUUAUCUGACUGGCGAAGUAAAGGUACUUGAAUUGCAGGAAAAAAGGUCAAGGUGAACUGAAGAAAAUAAGUCUUUCCCCAAAGGAGGUAGAAGAUGGGGAAGAUGAGAUGUCAGAAGCUAAGGACAAUGGCAGUAGAGAUGAGGUUCUUGUCCCUCAUAAGAAUUGCAGGAAGAAUACCACUGUCCCGGGAAAGAAAGGGGAGGAAAAGUCUCUGGCUCCUGUGUUUGCUGAGAAGUUAAUAUCACCAAGCAGGAGGGGAGCCAAGCUCAAGGACCGUGAGAGCCACCAGGAGAAUGAAGACAGGAACAGUGAGUUGGACCAGGAUGAGGAAGAUAAAGAAUCCUUCUGUAGGGGGUUCCCGAUGAGUGGCUGUGAGUUAGAGACAAGCUGCUGUGUGUGCCAUUCUACAGCACUUGGGGAGAGGUUCUGUUAAAAAUCCAUCCCUCUGAAAACUGCCUUGGCAAUUCCCGGCUGAUUCUUCGGGAUGGGCCUCAUUGAUGGGGAGUCUCAGUGGAUGUUUGACUUUUGCUUUCUACCUGACCCUAGUCAGAGAUUUUUUCUUUUUCCUUUUUUUUUUUUUUUUUUUUCUGAGACAGAGUCUUGCUCUGUCACCCAGGUUGGAGUGCAUUGGUGUGGUCUUGGCUCACUGCAGCCUCUGCCUCCUGAGUAGCUGGGACUACAGGCGCACACCACCACACUGGCUAAUUUUUGUAUUUUUAGUAGAGAUGGGGUUUCGCCAUGUUGGCCAGGCCAUCUUGAACUCCUGACCUGAAGUGACCUUCCCACCUUGGCCCCCCAAAGUGCUGGGAUUACAGGCAUGAGCCACCAUGCCUAGCCCAGAAAUUUUCUCUUUGAAUACUAUACAUUGAUGAGUUCUGUCUUUAUGCUUAUGAUCCACGCAGGUAGGUCGUCUCAGAUUUAAUUUUCAGUGGUUUUUUUCUGUCUUGAUGGAGUCUGUGUAACAUUUAAAAUAUUGCUACCAAAGCAGUAAUUCUUACUAUAGUUAUUAAAAUGCAAGAACAAUAUAUUUAAAAUUAUUUCAUAAUAAAGUUAAAAUGAGGCUGGG